CCUACGGGUGGCAGCAGUAGGGAAUCUUGCGCAAUGGUCGAAAGCCUGACGCAGCAACGCCGCGUGAACGAGACGCCCUUCGGGGUGUAAAGUUCUGUCAGUGGGGACGAAAAAUGACGGUACCCACAGAGGAAGCACCGGCUAAGUCCGAGCCAGCAGCCGCGGUAAUACGGGGGGUGCAGGAGUUGUCCGGAAUCAUUUGGCGUAAAGAGUUAGUAGGCGGGAUGUUAAGUAAGGUGUUAAAGGCGCAGGCUCAACCGGGGUAUGGCACUUGAGACUUGCAAGCUGGAAUGCGGUAGAGGUAGAGGGAAUUCGUGGUGUAGCGGUGAAAUGCUUAGAUAUCAGGAGGAACCUCGAUGGCGUAGGCACUUUACUGGGCCGUAAUUGACGCUGAGGAACGAAAGCCAGGGUAGCAAAUGGGAUUAGAUACCCGAGUAGUC
rnacentral:rRNA from 1 species